rnacentral:sRNA from 1 species
UGGCCAAGAGGGUGGCCGCCUGCACAGGGCAA